CUCAUCUUGCAGGAUAUCAAAACCAUUUAAUAUCCAUAAAAAAGCUAAAUCCUUAUCAGAUCGAAAUUCUUUAUCCAAGUGAUGGGUCACUUGUCUCCACAAGGACGUUUGAUGUUUCAAUUCUUUACACAUUAUUGCGAAACACCACAAGUAUUAAAAAACCAAAAAACAACUGGAAUCAUGAACCACCUUUGGAAAGCAUCGACAAAGCGGAUGACGUUGAAAGAAUUCAUCUGUUUAGAAAUUUGGUUGCUCAUUGUACAAAUAAAAAACUUUCCGAUGACGAAUUCGAGGAAAAAUGGUUCGAUUUGUCAACGGCAAUCGAUAGACUUAGUAAGGGAAAAUUAAGGAAGCCAUUAUGCCAAUUAAGAAACAAAAGGUUCGAG